UACGUAGGCAGCAAGCGUUGUUCGGAAUUACUGGGCGUAAAGAGUGUGUAGGCGGUGCUCUAAGUUCGGUGUGAAAUCUCCCGGCUCAACUGGGAGGGUGCGCCGAAAACUGGGGUGCUGGAGCGCGGGAGAGGAAAGCGGAAUUCCUGGUGUAGCGGUGAAAUGCGUAGAUAUCAGGAGGAACACCGGCGGUGUAGACGGCUUUCUGGACCGUAGCUGACGCUGAGGAGCGAAAGCGUGGGGAGCGAACAGG
rnacentral:rRNA from 1 species